UGUUCUAUGGCUUAGUUGGUUGAAGCUCCGGUCUAGGGAAUACGGAGUCGUGGGUUCGAAUCCCACCAUAACGU
rfam:Aedes albopictus isolate Foshan contig165831, whole genome shotgun sequence.